GUCCCCUUCAAAACACAGAGUUCAACUUUUAAUUUAACCUGAGGAUAUUAGAAAUAAUGGGACUGUAAUCUUCAGAAAUCAACACGGUCCUCCUUAGCAAUCACUUUUAUAAUUUAUGAAAAUAAGGAACGAACAGGAAAGUAAAGAACUUCCUCAUUGUCAGGCAGCAAGUCAAUAGCAGAGCUUGAACUUGACUUAUCUUUUUAAGGGGGAGGCAUUGUACUCUAUAAAAUUUCAAAUUACCUUGCUCCCAGCGUAUACUAUGGUUAUUUGAUUUGAGUGCUCACAAAAAUCAUAGCAAUUAAAAAUAUGGAUGCCACAGCGAUGAAACUUUAAAAAAAAAUCCUUUAAGGCUUCUUCACUUUCCACCCAAGUCAAGGGAGAACACAGGCGAGGAAGACAAAGAGGACCGGGUGGGGACAAGGCCCUCCUGUGGUCUAAAAGCUGAGUCAGAGGAUCGUACCCCUGCAGCGGGCGAGGUCCUUGUGUGAGGGUCACUGGCACCCUAGCUUAAGGAUGUCUUGAAGCAAACAAAGCCAGUUUAACGGUAAAGGAAUGCCUGUACCCCUAGGUACCAACAGGGUCCUUAGUUACCACGCGCUAGUCCGCUGUAGCCUUUAGGACCGUUGUUGAAAAAAUUCAUUAUGAUAUAAUGAAACUUAAGGGAGGAAAAUAAAUUAUGAAAGAAGAUUUGCAGGAUGGGCAUUUGCUCAUUUUAUUUUUCCGCUAUCGUUGUAUUAGGGUGCGCGGGUGAACAUCGUGCGCGUGGGGUGGGGGAGGGUGGCAAACGCCCCACAGGCCUCCGGACGCCUUUCCGGAGACGCGGCGCGAAAGAGUUAAGCGGGCUCGUGGAUGACAUCACCUCAUUUACAUAGGAGCGCCAAUAUAGCGGCGUGCGCCGCGCCCCGCCCGACACUCGGCGGCGGUCACUUCGCAGACCAGACUUCUCUCGUUCAGGCGUCUUGCUCCGGUGAGCCCCCGGGCCCUUUUUUCCCUUUCUUGGUCCCUUGGGACCCUUCCAGCUGGGCGCCAGCACUCGACCCCUUCAUCUACGACCCCUAUUAAGGCGUUUCUAAAUCCGAGUCCUGGGGAAGGUCGUUUUGGGGACCGUGGGGAUGUUAAACCCUUCCAGAUGCUAGAUAAUAGGAACGCGAUCUUGACUUUUUUUUUUUUAACCCUCAAAAUCCGGCGUCUUGCCGUGCAGGUUCAGGGGGAAAUUUAAUUUUUUCCCCCUUAAAGGCAUUCUGUAUUGUCUUUUGAGUUCAGAAACAGAACGAUCCUUUGUUCUAACGCACGUUCUACCGAGCCUUGAGCUUCAACGAUUCUGUAUCCCCCUAGCCUCCGAUGCCUUCUUGGGCUGUCCAGGUUUAGUGUGGGCUGGGCUGUAUCGUCAAAUUUUGAAAGUCCUUCUUACAGAGGAGUGUGAGCAAAGGAUGCUUAGUUGUCCCUAAUGCAGAUCAGGAUUGAUUUAUGGGGUGGUGAGGAGGCAGCUUUGUGAGCCGCUGGCUGCAUUGUUGAGCGCGAGAGAGGAAGCGCGUAGGGCGGUGGUCAGACGCUCGCAGCUGCCGCCUUUGUGAGAGGGGAAAACUAGACCCCGUGCAUCUUUUGGGAGAGAUCACAUCCAGAAAAUGGAAACACAUUUUUGCCACCUUGGCUCCAUUUUCAGGAUUUUUACUCGAUUUUCCCCCAUUUUAACUUGGAAGUGGCUUCGUUAUUCUCUACUUGUUCAACGGGAUUUUGAUUUACCAUUCCGCAAUGAUCAAUUCCAUUACUCGGAAAAAUCCAGCCUUGAAGCCAUCUUCCCCCACGUUUUGAAAUAUUGAGGGGGAGGUCUUUUUUUUUUUUUUAUCUUUUUUUCCCUGUAGAAAGAGGAAUCCCUUUAGUCCUGAAUGGACGAGGAAAGAGGGAGGGGGGGUUUCCAGGCUGCAACUUAGAGGGGAGAAGCGCAUUGCUGAGCGGGUAGAGGCGAGGGUGGGUGGCUCCUUCUCAGUCUUCCUCUUGGCUUUGUACCUCCAGCUUCCUCCGAAACCAUGUCUGACAAACCCGAUAUGGCUGAGAUCGAGAAAUUCGAUAAGUCGAAAUUGAAGAAGACAGAAACGCAAGAGAAAAAUCCUCUGCCUUCAAAAGAAAGUAAGCUCGCACCCUCCGCCCAUCUUCCGAAAAGGCUGGGCGGGAGCGGCGGGUAGGAGGAUGGGAGGGGCUGUAAGGAGAAGGGGGGGGGAGUGCGGGGGUGGAGCCGACAGUUUGAUGAUAAAUGUGGUUUGGAAAGGUUAAUUAAAAAUUGUUUAUAGCCAGCAAACACAGGGCUUUAGUGAUUUAAUAAUGGAAUAUUUAACCUGCCAUAUUAAUAUACAAAUACAUUUAUUUAUUAAAAUGUACUUUGAUUUGAUAUAUUUAAAAGAAAUAUUUUAUUUUAUUAUGGAAUAUUUACAUACCACUUGUAGAAUUUUUGUGAAAUGCAAAAAUGUUUUAAAUGAAAGUAUUGAUUGUUAUGGCGUCCUCUUAGCCUCCAUCUUUUUUUCUCUUUUGUCUUUUUCCGGUCACAGCGAUUGAACAGGAGAAGCAAGCAGGCGAAUCGUAAUGAGGCGUGCACCGCCAAUAUGCACUGUACAUUCCACAAGCAUUGCCUUCUUAUUUUACUUCUUUUAGCUGUUUAACUUUGUAAGAUGCAAAGAGGUUGGAUCAAGUUUAAAUGACUGUGCUGCCCCUUUUCACAUCAAAAAAUCAAGAACUACUGACAACGAAGGCCAGGCCUGCCUCUCCCAUCUGCCUGUCUGGCAGAGAAAGAAAAGAACUUGCAUGUUGGUGAAGGAAGAUAUUGGGUGGGAGGAUGGUGAAAUCUAGAGUAAGAUCCAAGCUGUUUCAAGGUGUCCUGCAGGCUGUAAAAUGCAGUUUAAUCAGAGUGCCAUUUUUUUGUUCAAAUGAUUUUAAUUAUUGGAAUGCACAAUUUUUUUAAUAUGCAAAUAAAAAGUUUUAAAACCUGGCUUGUGUGACUUGUUUGGUGUCUGAAGGGAGCGGUU
rnacentral:lncRNA from 1 species